AUAGAACGCUGGCGGCAUGCUUUACACAUGCAAGUCGAACGGCAGCGCGUGCUUCGGCCUGGCGGCGAGUGGCGAACGGGUGAGUAAUACAUCGGAACGUGCCCAGUAGUGGGGGAUAGCUCGGCGAAAGCCGGAGUAAUACCGCAUACUACCUGAGGGUGAAAGCGGGGGAUCUUCGGACCUCGUGCUAUUGGAGCGUCCGACGGCAGAUUAGCUAGUUGGUGGGGUAAAGGCCUACCAAGGCGACGAUCUGCAGCUGGUCUGAGAGGACGACAAGCCACACUGGCAAUGAGACACGGCCCAGGCCACAGCGGGAGGCGCCAGUGGGGAAUUUUGGGCAAUAGGCGAAAGCCUGAUACAACGAUCCCGCGUGUGUGAUAACAGCGUUCCGGUCGGAAAGAACAUUUGGCGGGAACGAAAAGGACUGUGCCAAUACCACGGUUCGAUGACGGUACCCGCUGAAGAAGCACCGGCUAACUACGUG
rnacentral:rRNA from 1 species